UUAUCUGGAAGGCAUGAGGCUAGGGAUAACCCCGAAGACAGCAGCCUUACCUUGACACAAUAGAACUCCGUUACUAAGUGCUGUCAGCAAGUAAUAACUGGCUUUGGCUUUGGCUAUGGUUUUUCUCUUUCUUUUUUCUUACAUAAAAAACAACAGUAUUGUUUUUUAUAUGGUCUGAAAUCCAAUGGCUGUCUCUCCCAACAUAAGAAUCGGAAUCCCAAUCCCCCGCACUUCUUCCACCCACCGUCUUCCCAUGUCCACUCUCUCAUACCCUUUCUUCUUCUACUACUCUUUCCCUCCACGCGCCCUCCGUUUUCACUCUCCCUCCACGCGCCUCCGUCCCCUCUCUAUCCGCCCCAAGGCCUCUGUCGAACCCCACUCCGCUCCAGCUAAAUCAGUGGAGAAUGUGGUGAUCAUAGGUUCAGGUCCUGCUGGAUAUACGGCAGCAAUAUAUGCAGCUCGUGCCAAUUUGAAGCCUGUAGUGUUUGAGGGAUAUCAAGUAGGUGGUGUUUCUGGUGGCCAGUUGAUGACUACCACUGAAGUGGAGAACUUCCCUGGUUUUCCUGAUGGAAUAACUGGUCCAGAUUUGAUGGAUAGGAUGCGACGACAAGCUGAGCGUUGGGGAGCAGAAUUGUUCCAAGAAGAUGUGGAACACAUUGAUGUUAAAACCAGUCCUUUUACAAUACGGAGUACUGAACGUGAGGUUAAGUGUCAUAGUGUAAUUUUUGCUACGGGAGCUACGGCAAAAAGGCUCAGGUUACCCCGUGAAGAUGAAUUUUGGAGUAGGGGAAUUAGUGCUUGUGCAAUUUGUGAUGGUGCAUCGCCAUUGUUUAAAGGACAAGUACUUGCUGUGGUUGGAGGAGGUGAUACAGCUACUGAGGAAGCAUUAUACUUAACCAAAUAUGCUCAGCAUGUUCACUUGCUUGUUCGUAAGGACCAAUUAAGAGCAUCAAAGGCAAUGCAAGAUAGAGUUUACAACAAUCCAAAUAUCACCUUGCACUUCAAUACAGAGACUGUGGACGUUGUUAGCAAUACAAAAGGUCAAAUGUCGGGCAUAUUAACCAGAAGAGUUGAUACAGGGGAGGAAUCUGUGCUUGAGGCAAAGGGCUUGUUUUAUGGUAUAGGACAUUCACCAAAUAGUGAGCUGUUGCAAGGUCAAGUCAAACUUGACAGCUCAGGAUAUGUGCUAGUUGAGGAGGGCACUGCUAAAACUUCUGUUGAAGGUGUAUUUGGAGCGGGAGAUGUGCAGGACCAUGAGUGGAGACAAGCCAUAACUGCUGCUGGAUCUGGAUGCAUUGCAGCUUUAUCCGUUGAACGAUAUCUAGUUAGAAAUGAUAUCCUUGUUGAGUUUCAUCAGCCUCAAACUGAAGAGGUUAAGAAGGAACUGGCAGAUAGAGAUGUUCAAGCAGGUUUUGACAUUACACUCACAAAACAUAAGGGCCAGUAUGCUCUACGGAAGUUGUACCAUGAGAGUCCGAGGCUUAUAUGUGUGUUGUAUACUGCACCAACUUGUGGUCCAUGUCGAACUUUGAAGCCAAUUCUUAGCAAGGUGAUCGAUGAAUUUGAUCAGAACGUACAUUUUGUUGAAAUUGAUAUCGAGGAAGAUCCAGAAAUUGCUGAAGCUGCUGGAAUCAUGGGCACCCCAUGCGUGCAGUUUUUCAAAAAUAAAGAGAUGCUCAGGACUGUAUCAGGGGUCAAAAUGAAGGGAGAGUACAGAGAAGUCAUUGAAGCGAAUAAAUGAGAGUAUUAUGGUGCAUUCUUUGGCUAUCAUCAUUUGUGAUUCAGUUUUGUUCCUUCUGAAAAGUGCAAUAUGAUCAGAUAUGGAUAUGCAACCAUGAGCACCAAUAAAUAUCUAAUUGCCUAAAGAGAUGAUUAACUGUAUG